rfam:Salmo salar isolate Sally breed double haploid chromosome ssa10, whole genome shotgun sequence.
GUCUUUGUGGCUCAGUUGGUAGAGUAUGGCACUUGCAAUGCCAGGGUUGUGGGUUCGAGUCCCACGGGGGACC